rnacentral:lncRNA from 1 species
AUAACGCCAGGCUAAACACGGAGAUGGGGAUGCUGGUUCCGAUAACUAAGCCAACUUCGAAAGCACCAAGAGACACGGUCUUUUCGGAAAUGCCAAUUGGCUGAUUGACUGGUUCAAGGAAGAAGCUUCAGGAAGAGGUGAAGAGAGACUCACCUGAGGGGAGUCCCAGCGAUUCUGUCAGAACUCAACAGAGAGACAGCUGUUCUAGCUGGGUGAGCAGAGCAAAGGAAGGAUUCCCACAAAGGAGAUCCCAGUUCAUAUGGCAGGACCAACCAGUGGGAGGAGUAAAAUAACAGGAACACCUGGACAAGGAAACCAAGUGGGUGAAUCAAAAAGAUUGACAAAGUCCUCUUCUUGGACUCAAGAGGUUGGUUAGAUUCAUUUCUCCAGCAAGCCUUCCCUUAUCUAGUAAGUCUGUCCCAACUCCCCAAAUCAUAACAACCCAACUGUCUUUUCUACCACUUAGGUAUUCAUUUAUAUAUUGUAUAUUUAUAAGUA